UGCGCACAACCUCAACCCUCAAGGUUUCCCAAAACGUCCGUAAUUUUACCCUAAUACUCGAGUUUUAAUGGUUCUGGCAAUGGCUGGUGUGGCUUAUCGAGGUCCUGAACACUCCAUCCUUCAGUCCUUGAGUCCCAGCAGGCGGAAGGCGGUGCAGGAGCGGCAGGAGAGGGCGAGACAUGAGGUGACGGCCGCCAGCACCUUCCCGCCAUGUCCACCCAGGCAGGCGUGUGUGGUGGGGCAGCAAGGAUGUACCCAGAAGUGGCCACUCAGUCUGCCUGUGAAGCCCAAGCUGUGGUGCCCUGCCCUGUAUCCCUGAGUGUUACAUGGAUCAACAAGAGAAAGUGUCAAGGCAGCCAGGACCAUCAUGACCAAGGAUGAGGGCCAGGGAGGCAGCCUCACCAGGAACACAGCCAAUAUGUGCAUGGGGCUGUCAGGUGCCAAGGUGCAGUGGUGCUAAACAGGACAGUGGGCGGUGCAGCGAGUCAUGGUGCACAAGAGACACACCUUUACCUAGCAUCUUGAGUGGGUCGGAGCAGUAGCGCGAGGUGAGGGAGUCCCCGCGCGGCC